rnacentral:lncRNA from 1 species
UGCGUUUUUGCAUGGUCCAGUCUUCGUCUAUCCAAUGACUGGUCACGGUUAGAUAAUCACAAUCAUUUCCACUUCUACCAAUAUCAGUUGUAAUACACAUACGAUUACUUAUAUGAGUAAAUAAAUAGCGCAAGUACUGUUCAUAUUCAUGCUUAUAUUUAUAAAUGUCGGCCUUAACUGUGGCGCGAGGCGAAAACCUUUAUAUGUAUGAUUAAAUACUCGUCUAAUAUAUUGAAUCCAAGCAGGGUUAGAAGCAAAAGAAUAAGGUAAACACAUAACAGUAAUCAUUUUAGCUAAUUCUUCACGAUCCNNN